ACGAACCGUCCUAACGUUGUUCGGAAUCACUGGGCUUAAAGGGCGCGUAGGCGGGCGAUCAAGUCCGGGGUGAAAUCUUUCGGCUUAACCGGAAAACAGCCUUGGAUACUGAUUGUCUCGAGGGAGGUAGGGGCCUGUGGAACUUCCGGUGGAGCGGUGAAAUGCGUUGAUAUCGGAAGGAACGCCGGUGGCGAAAGCGACGGGCUGGACCUUUUCUGACGCUGAGGCGCGAAAGCCAGGGGAGCAAACGGG
rnacentral:rRNA from 1 species